rnacentral:rRNA from 1 species
AACGCGAAGAACCUUACCAGGUCUUGACAUCCCCCUGAUCGCUGUAGAGAUAUGGCUUUCCUUCGGGACAGGGGAGACAGGUGGUGCAUGGUUGUCGUCAGCUCGUGUCGUGAGAUGUUGGGUUAAGUCCCGCAACGAGCGCAACCCUUGAUCUUAGUUGCCAGCAGGUAAGGCUGGGCACUCUAAGGUGACUGCCGGUGACAAACCGGAGGAAGGUGGGGAUGACGUCAAAUCAUCAUGCCCCUUAUGACCUGGGCUACACACGUACUACAAUGGCCGGUACAACGGGAAGCGAAAGAGCGAUCUGGAGCGAAUCCUAGAAAAGCCGGUCUCAGUUCGGAUUGCAGGCUGCAACUCGCCUGCAUGAAGUCGGAAUUGCUAGUAAUCGCGGAUCAGCAUGCCGCGGUGAAUACGUUCCCGGGCCUUGUA